UUUACUGAAGAUCUGAGAGGUUAUGGGAGAAGUAACAUCACACACAAUAUUGCUGACUUCCUGGCCUUAUCUCCAUUCUUCUUCAUUUUACACAAGAAGAAAUGUGCUUGAUAAACAUGCUGAUUUCAACCACCUUGUAACCAGGACCCCAGGCAGGAUUCUUCCUAUUGGCAGAUAGGCUGAUCAUGCCACUGCAGAGAGCUUCCAAUUAAAAGGAAGAAGGAAGAACAGGACAUAUUUUCUGUAAGAACAAAAAAUGCCACAUGGUGCUUACCCUACCUGGCUGAUUUCUCUGUUAGGAAUAUAAACUUCACAAGGCAGAGAGUAUUUUUCUUAUCAG
rnacentral:lncRNA from 1 species